AUUGAACGCUGGCGGCAUGCCUUACACAUGCAAGUCGAACGGUAACGCGGGGCAACCUGGCGACGAGUGGCGAACGGGUGAGUAAUGUAUCGGAACGUGCCCAGUUGUGGGGGAUAACUGCUCGAAAGAGCAGCUAAUACCGCAUACGACCUGAGGGUGAAAGCGGGGGAUCGCAAGACCUCGCGCAAUUGGAGCGGCCGAUAUCAGAUUAGGUAGUUGGUGGGGUAAAGGCCCACCAAGCCAACGAUCUGUAGCUGGUCUGAGAGGACGACCAGCCACACUGGGACUGAGACACGGCCCAGACUCCUACGGGAGGCAGCAGUGGGGAAUUUUGGACAAUGGACGCAAGUCUGAUCCAGCCAUGCCGCGUGCGGGAAGAAGGCCUUCGGGUUGUAAACCGCUUUUGUCAGGGAAGAAACGCUCUGGGUUAAUACCUCGGGGUAAUGACGGUACCUGAAGAAUAAGCACCGGCUAACUACGUGCCAGCCGCCGCCGUAA
rnacentral:rRNA from 1 species